AUUGAACGCUGGCGGCAGGCCUAACACAUGCAAGUCGAACGAGUGGCGGACGGGUGAGUAAUGUCUGGGAAACUGCCUGAUGGAGGGGGAUAACUACUGGAAACGGUAGCUAAUACCGCAUACCAUCGGAUGUGCCCAGAUGGGAUUAGCUAGUAGGUGGGGUAAAGGCGCACCUAGGCGACGAUCCCUAGCUGGUCUGAGAGGAUGACCAGCCACACUGGAACUGAGACACGGGCCAGAUUCCUACGGUAGGCAGCAGUGGGGAAUAUUGCACAGUGGGCGCAAGCCUGAUGCAGCCAUGCCGCGUGUAUGAAGAGGGCCUUCGGGUUGUAAAGUACUUUCAGCGGGGAGGCGUUACCCGCAGAAGAAGCACCGGCGAACUCCGUGCCAGCAGCCGCGGUAAUUC
rnacentral:rRNA from 1 species